ensembl:lncRNA
CGGAGAACAGCCACCGAUUCACAAAACAUGAAGAUGAGCAUUUUAGCCUUUCGCUUCUGCUAAGCAAAUGUUUUAAAUCCAUUCAUCAUUGUUUAUGAGAUACACAAAUCAUGGAGCACAGAAUGCAGUGACAGUAUGGCGUCAGAUAUGUAUUGAUCUAGCUUAGGUUUUCAAAUGUAAAUAAUUCAGAAGUAUAUUUAUGGGUGUAGUAGUAAUUAUCACAGUGACAAGUUUUUUCAUAAAUUAUGAGAUUUAUAAAAGUUAUCGAAAUGUGAAAUCUUUCUCCCUAUACAAUGAAAAUACAUGUUGAUCAUUGGCUUUCAAGUUCAGUUCGCUUUGCUUGGCUUAUUACAACCCUGGUUCCUUUGCAUACUUAACUAAAAUUACACUGCUAGGUCCCUGGUGCCCCCUCAAACCAUUAAGAGCAUGACGCCUCUGUCCGUUCCAGUGGGAGGUUAGUGUGAAGACUGAGCAUUCAGAGCAGAUUGUGAAAUUCUGUGGUCUCCCUUUCAAGAAAGCUUUUAUGGAAAGCAGAACCUCUGAUAGAAGAAAGAGAAAAACAGAAAACAGACUAUGUUUUACCCUCCGUGUUUCAAAAGGAUAUGCAUUUUUAGUGCUCUAUAUUUCCAUUUCCUCUUUGUCACUGAGUACACAACAACAAAGACAAUGAGUUAGAAAUAUUUCAUUCAAGAUAAAAGACAUUCUGUUCACAGGAACAGUUCAUGUUUAUAAACAGUCAUUUCAGAAUGGUGGCAAGCAAUGAAAGUGAUGGUUACGUCCAUUUUAAAUAAGAACAAUUCGUAUCAAAGUGAAUCUCUGAAGUGUUUGACCAACGGAAGUAGGAUUUUUUUUUUCUUCUUUUGACUUGUGAUCUAGAUUGUGGGUGGGUGUAUGGCCAGGAAGUUCAUCAUUCGAGUGCAGAUGUGUCGAACACACUGAGCCCAACAACAUGUUUUUAAAAUGGACUACAAACUGUCUUUUAUUUUUGACUUUAAUUUAUCUUCCACACACAGGAGGAUGGAAUGUUUCCUCAGUAAUCAUCGGAGAAACUGUGCAUCUGUCCUGCCACUCACCCCCUAAACUCACUGAUACAUUUGAAAUAGAGUGGACAAAAAAUGGAACAAAUACUAACACUACUUGUAAAUGGAGGAUAAAUAAAGGUAUUAUAUCUUCUUUAAAUACAUGCGAUCCUCGUUUUACAUUCACCAAAGAGCCUUUCGAAAUUAAUAUAAAAGACGUUCAGCCCAGUGACUCUGGUAUUCACAGCUGUAAAAUGACAAUAAUAAUUCCACCACCAUCACUGGACUACUUCACAAAUAUGACACUCCAAGUUGUAGUUGGUCCUCAUCUGUCAUUGCAGAAACUGAACAGCAGUAAUGACACCUGUGUCCAUCUGCUCUGCUCUAUGGAGGAUCUGAAGCCUGAGCAGGUGAACUUCACCUGGAGCCGGGGUGAAAGGUCACUUUAUCCAUUCACAUCUUAUGCCAUGAACAGCGAGCUGCGUCUGUGUAAACCUGACUGGAGUGAAGGAGACACAAUCACCUGUUACGCCAACUACUCAAGUACACAAACCCAAAAAAGUAUACAACUCACCUCAGAGACAACUUCUGACAUAGUUGUUAACGGUGUGCUGUUCCAGCUGCUGACCAUCUCAUGCAGUGCUGCUGCAGGCCUCAUCCUCUGCAUCAUCCUCACAGUAGUUAUUUGCAAAUGUGAGUAUGAUUAUAUUUGA